CAAAGGCCCCAAAGGAAGCCACGGCUAACUCUGUGCCAGCAGCCGCGGUAAUACAGAGGUGGCAAGCGUUGUUCGGUAUUAUUGGGCGUAAAGAGCACGUAGGUGGUUUUGUAAGUCAGAUGUGAAAGCCUUCUGCUCAAAGGAAGAACGGCAUCUGAGACUGCGAAUCUUGAGUGUAGGAGGGGAGAGUGGAACUUCUGGUGGAGCGGUGAAAUGCGUAGAUAUCAGAAGGAACGUCGGCGGCGAAAGCGACUCUCUGGCCUAUUACUGACACUGAGUGUGCGAAAGUUAGGGGAGCAAACGGGAUUAGAUACCCCGGUAGUCCUAACUGUAAA
rnacentral:rRNA from 1 species